CCUUGGCCUCCCAAAGUGCUGGGAUUACAGGUGUGAGCCACCAUGCCCAGCCCAGGUUAUAUAUUAUAUGGAGAGGUUCUCAUUUCUGGCAACCAAUAACAGGAGGUUUAGAAGGUUUAGUGAUCAGCAUUAGAAAAUACCUUUAGGUAAGGUUGAACUGGGAAUGCUUUAGGCAACCUUAGAUCUCCAUUAUGUCUGGCGGAAGCAUCAGCAGGUAUAAGGCAGACCUGAAGUGGUUGAAUGAGGAGCUGAGCUGAGGUGUCCAGAUAGGCGUGCAAUUCCAAGUAGCUGAAGAUAAAGCAACAAAAAGAGCCAGGUAGGGAGGCCUUCAAAGUGGGACUGAGGGCUGCCCCUGGCAGUCAGUGCCAUUGGAGUCUGGGAUGGCAUGGAGUUCUGAUUGCAUUUGGUAAGUGCCCUCUGGAUGCCAUGUGUAGACUAGAAUAUGGUGACACUAGGGGAGGCACAUAAGGUGGUGUAGGGGGCAGUGGUUGUGGUACAGAGUGUGUGCACAUUCUAGUGAGUAUAAACAGAUGUGCCCCGGACCUUGUAUUGGGGGCUUCAGGGAGAACACUGACACAAAUUUGAUUGUAUUUGGGAAACAGUCUUGGAAUCCAAGGUGAGUUGUCUGGCAAGAGAAGAGUAGGACUCUGCAUACCGUGCCCAGAGCUGAAAUGGACUCUAUCUGCCUACCUGCCUGUGCUUGCUCAGUGGGAACAUGCGGAGACAGUGGGCAUCCGUGGUUCUGGGGCAGGGUCUCUCCUCUGAGAUGGGGAUUGAGGAAGAGGGUGAGCAGGGGUGGAUGUUUAGGGGGAUGCCUAAAUUCCCCAGUAAGGAGGCCACAGAUAAACUCAACUCUCUCCAUCUUAGCAGGGCUAUGUGACCUUUGAGGACGUGGCUGUCUACUUCUCCCAGGAGGAAUGGAGAUUGCUUGAUGAGGCUCAGAGGCUCCUCUGCCGCAGUGUGAUGCUGGAGAACUUUUCACUUCUGGCCUCUCUGGGAUCCUGAAGUAGCUAUUGUAAUUGGCCUGGGCUGCGUAUAUCACCACCUUCUGUCCCCGAGCUGCCCCAGAGCUGUGCAGGAAAGGGUUUGGGGUUAACGAGCCUUGCAGUCAACUGGAUGGAACUUAACCCUGGUGGCCUCUCUGUGGCCUGGUGACACUGUGCAGAUCUGUGGACUUGCAUCUUCCAAGACCCAUGAUAUAACCCAGCUGGAGUCACGGGAGGAGCCCUUCGUGCCUGCCUCGGAAGCUGUGACUUCAGCCACACCGAGAGGUACUUGGUGGGUGGAGCUCAGGGAGGUAUGAACUCGGGGAUGGGUUCAUAUCAUACCAGGAGUCUUUCCAGUGGGCCCAGAUAUUUUGAUACCAAGGCAAGGGGUCGUAGCUGAUUUCUGUCUUUUCUUCCUCAGUCACCCAUUUAUGUCUAUUCUGAUAUUUGACCCGGGGCCAUUCCCACCUCUCUGUCCUCCAUGUUUCACCCAAUCCUCAGCAGCACCUUUCAGCAGUGGCUUUCACUGAAUAUGUGGUGAG